UUACCCACAGGGUGAGGGCUUAGCCUCCCAGGACUGUCCCCCAGCACACAUCCCAAGUGUCUCAACCCUUGGCUCACCAGCUCCAGUUAGGGUUUCCCACAAUUCCCUUCCUCUGACUCAGUGAUUUACUAAAAUGACCCUCAGAGCUUAGGGAAACACUUGGUCGACUAUUUAUUACUGGUUUACAAUAGAAAACACAACUAACAAGCAGUAAAAUGAUGGAAGACAGACAGGACAAGGUGUUCAGCUGGGUACCUGUGCCCUCCUGGGCACACACUCUCCCGGGCCAACAAGCCCAGAGCAAUGAGUCAGCUUAUUUCAGAAUUUUAUGGUAGUUUUGUGAUGCGGGCAUGACUGGUGACUGAACUCAGUCCCCAGUCCUGCCUGAGAGAGUAGGGGGUGGGGCUGAAAGCUGCAAACCUCCAAUCCUGUGACUGGAUCCUCUAGUGACCAUCUUAAUGUGCAUCCAGUCCUCUGUUCUCCAGCCAAGGAAAUCCACACUGUACUUGGCGAGGCAGCCAUAGAGAACCCAUCUCCUUGUCAGUGAUUUAGGACGACUUGAGCAAGUACAGCUGUUGCUAGAAUCCCUUCUCUGGGAGAAAAGCAAACAAUGCCUACGCCUCCUCCCGCCGACAAACCAAGCCCCUCCCACAGCCGCGGCCAAUCAGGGCACAACUGCCCACAACUGGUUGGGAGAUGUGGCUGGAUAUGCAGGUGAGGGUCCCAUGGUCCUCCCCACUCCUUUCUUCUAUGAGGGAAGUCCCCCAAAGAUGGUGGCAGUUGGACUCAGAG